AUCUACUACCACUAUAAAAGGAAGAGAGGGGCAGAUCCAAAUAAUCAGAACCAUCCAUUGGCAAGAUCUAAUGGCCCUUAAUCCUUCUGUGUUUAACGCUCCAAACCACGCAUUAAGCUAUCGCUAACCCAGCCCACGCCGCCGUUUAAAAACAAAAACAAAACCGCCCGCACGACCUAUCGCCCACUCUCGCCCACUCCUUCUCCCGCACCCUUCGCCGCCCCGCCCCGCGCCCUUCGCCGCCCACCGCUAGAGCCGUCGCGGGUAUAGCCGGAGCCGCGCCCCGCUCCCCGCGCCCUUCGCCGCCUGCCGCUGGAGCCGCCGUGGGUAGAUCCGGAGCCGCCCCGCCCCCCGCGCCCUUCGCCGCCCGCUGCUGGAGCCGCCGGGGUUAGAGCCGGAGCCGCCCCCGCCCGCAGGGGGCGCGUCGGAGCUGCCCCACA
rnacentral:rRNA from 1 species